AGACGAACGCUGGCGGCGUGCCUAAUACAUGCAAGUCGAGCGCGGGAAGCUCAUCAAUCAUCCUUCGGGGUGACUGUUGAGUGGAACGAGCGGCGGAUGGGUGAGUAACACGUGGGCAACCUGCCUGUAAGCUUGGGAUAACUCGUGGAAACGCGAGCUAAUACCGAAUAAAAAGUUUGUUCGCAUGAACAGACGAUGAAAGACGGCUUUUGCUGUCACUUACAGAUGGGCCCGCGUCGCAUUAGCUAGUUGGUGGGGUAAAAGCUCACCAAAGCAACGAUGCGUAGCCGAACUGAGAGGUUGAUCGGCCACAUUGGGACUGAGACACGGCCCAAACUCCUACGGGAGGCAGCAGUAGGGAAUCUUCCACAAUGGACGCAAGUCUGAUGGAGCAACGCCGCGUGAGUGAAGAAGGUCUUCGGAUCGUAAAACUCUGUUGUUAGAGAAGAACACGAGUGAGAGUAACUGUUCAUUCGAUGACGGUAUCUAACCAGCAAGUCACGGCUAACUAC
rnacentral:rRNA from 1 species